UUUAGACUUAUAAAAGUAAUCAAUGUGAGUUCAACUAGACAUAGUAGUGCACUCCACAAACUCCCUUACGCAGCUGACCAUACAACACUACUAGUCUGCUACUAUGGUCAGGUAUGUGAGAUAGAAUCUACAAAUAGAUUAGAAUUGCAAAGAGAAAGAGACAGAGAGAGUACACCCAGGGGGAGAAUGCUGCUUGCCGGCACGACCCCAAUGACACCAACUGAUGUUCUAGCAUUUGUUUUUCACCAACAAACUUCAGAAUAUAUGCUGCCAGAUGUACCCAGCAACACUCGUUUCAGACUUCAGUUUUCACCAUCGCCUACUGCCACACUGGAGCUGCUAUUGUAAAUGAACUGGCAUGAGAAAAUUACUCGACAUGCAUGGAUGUUCUACAGCCACGCGGUCAUGAACAACAUAAGCUUCAGUGACAAAUGAACUUCAACCAGGGGCGAAGCUGAACUUUUUGAAUCUGACGCUGUAAAAAAUAAGUAAGCAUCAAACUUUUUUUUAUCUCUCUAUCGUCCGGUGCAGUAGAGGUAGGAACCAGCAAGCAGAGAUAGCAGUAAAAGAGUGGACCGUGAUAUGUCACCUGAAUAUAUAUAUACCUCACGCCAGUGACGAGGUGUGGACAAAGGUCGCUGGAAGGAAUUGACACGAGCAUCUCCAGCGGUUCUACUCCCCCUGCACUGAAGUUCAAUCACACCAUGGGGAGUGAGCCUGCCGCUGGAGCAUCUGCCACCAACAACAUGGUCGGGGCUUCAUCGGAAGCCGAAGCCCGGGGUGGGUAGGGGCGAGCCAUCGGAGCAGGUGGACGUGAAGGAAGAGGGGUGCCUGACACCGGCGCUGGAUCUGACAUGUUGUUGGGGAGGGGUUGCUGGUGGCGCCGCCCGGUGGGAUUGGGGCAGGAGGGUCACGGCGGCAUCCGUGCGCAGGUGGUGGCUCGGAGCUUGGCCUGCUCUGGUGGGUGGAGGCAGGGUAGGGGCACAGGGCGCAGCGGAAUCAAACUCACGCGGCUGGCCAUGUCGAACUUCACAAACGCCUACCAGCGCAGAGAAGGGGACGGGAGAGAGGAGGCCAUCGCGGAUGCGCUGUUCUCGGGGGAUGGAGGAGGAACGAUAGGGAGGAGGCCGUUUUCUGCGUCGCGCUUGGGGACGGAGGCUCACCGGAGCAGCACCGCCGUGAGAAAUCGCCGGAUCCCGCAGAUCUGAGCGCUGGAGGCAGGGGCCGUGGCGCGCUGGAGGAGGAGGGGGUGGCCUCGUGCUGGAUGAUGCGGGGGCAGCGGCGCACCAGAGGAGGAGGGGGUGGCGGCACGCCGGGGGAGGCAGGGGCGGCGGCGCACGGGGUGGGGCGGCGGCGGCGACCUCCUGGUGGAAACGCGUGGGUCGGGUGGGUGGGCUACAAGGUUGGAGACGCGGGGGUGGGUAGUUUUUCUUUUUC
rnacentral:lncRNA from 1 species